UUCCGGUUGAUCCUGCCGGAGGCUACUGCCAUCAGAGUUCGAUUAAGCCAUGUUAGUUGAGGGUAGCUCUUCUUCGGAAGAGGGAACCCGGCAGACGGCUCAGUAACACGUGGACAACUUACCCUUAGGACCGGGAUAACUCCUGGGAAACUGGAGAUAAUACCGGAUAGAGCAUCGAAUGCUGGAAUGCACGAUGUUCAAAAACUGAGGUGCCUAAGGAUAGGUCUGCGGCCGAUUAGGUUGUUGUUGAUGUGAUGGAUUAACAAGCCUACGAUCGGUAUGGGUUGUGAGAGCAAUAGCCCAGAGAUGGGUUCUGAGAAAAGAACCCAGGUCCUACGGGACGCAUCAGGCGCGAAAACUUUACAAUGUGCGAAAGCACGAUAAGGGAACUCUGAGUGCCUCCUACGGAGGCUGUUCAGUUGUCUAAAACGCAUCUGAAGGAAGGGCUGGGUAAGACCGGUGCCAGCCGCCGCGGUAACACCGGCAGCCCGAGUGGUAGCCAUGUUUAUUGGGUCUAAAGCGUCCGUAGCCGGCCACGUAAGUUCCUUGGGAAAUUUGAUCGCUUAACGGUCAAGCUUUCGGGGAAUACUGCCUGGCUUGGGACCGGGAGAGGUCAGAGGUACUCUAAGGGUAGGGGUGAAAUCCAUUAAUCCUUGGGGGACCACCGGUAGCGAAGGCGUCUGACCAGACCGGAUCCGACGGUGAGGGACGAAGGCUAGGGUCACGAACCGGAUUAGAUACCCGGGUAGUCCUAGCUGUAAACGAUGCGGGCCAGGUGUUGGCAUUACUGCGAGUGAUGCCAGUGCCGAAGGGAAGCCGUUAAGCCCGCCAUCUGGGGAGUACGGUCGCAAGGCUGAAACUUAAAGGAAUUGGCGGGGGAGCACCACAACGGGUGGAGCCUGCGGUUCAAUUGGAUUCAACGCCGGG
rnacentral:rRNA from 1 species